GCUAGGCAAAGAAUACUUGCCCGAUUGGGAUCAAAGCCCACACUUGAGAAAUUAUUAAAUUAUACAUCUGGUUGCUCGACGUCAAAUUGCCAAGAAGACCACGCUGUAUCGCCAUUAACCGGAUCAACGCCGUUCAUUCAAUGAUCGCUGAUCAAUGUCGGCCAUCAUCGGGAUCCAUGAUGUUGUUGUCGACGACUUAUACUCUCAGGCCAAGGAAAAGGCUGCCAACAAAGGCUUCUACAGUAGCCGUUGGGCACCUCUAAUGCGCCGAGGUCGCCAGCUGCUUGCCGCAGCUAAAGUGAAGCUUGUAUUGGGCCUUUUUAUCCUAUGCGUCACCGUUUUUAUGACUUCCAGGAUUAGCUCUUUUAUGGGCUGGAUCCCUGAUGAACCUUCUGCCGUCUUUUCUCCUUCUAAGUACAUCCUUUCCUUGAAGAUCGUGUUUGGUUUCUCUUAUUACUAAUUUUCAUCAUGCACUUGGAUUCUUUUAAGUUGUUGGAUCCUUAAUUUUUAGCCCACAUAAUGCUCUGUAGGUGAUCACUCACUUCAUUAGGAAUCAUGGUUUCCACAUUACUACCAAAUGAGAUUCUUAGUUUACAUUUUUAGGAGGUUGGCUGUAUUUGAUAAUUUGCUUCACAAGAUCUUUAUCUAUUUGAGCAUUGUAUACACUUAUCCAAUGGAUUUGCAGUGUUAUUUAUUUUCAAUUUUGUUUUUCCUUUUAUGGGUAGGGGAGGCUACGCAGUGCUUAUCAACAGCUGGAAGGGAAAUUCUCUUCUAACGCAAUCGGUCGCUCAUUACGCGUCGUGUGCUGGCACCGAUGCAAUCCAUGUGGCGUGGAGUCAGACUGAUCCCCCAUCGGAGAACUUGAAAGCCUAUCUCAAAAGGGUUGUGUUUUCGAAGUCGCAAACAGCCCUCAAACCCAGUUUCAAAUUCGAUAUUAACAAGGAGAAUUAUUUAAACUAUAGGUUUAAGCCCAUUGAUGACCUUAGAACUGACGCGAUUUUCUCCGUUGAUGAUGAUGUGAUCGUUCCUUGUUCCUUUCUGGAUUUCGCUUUUUCUGUGUGGCAGAGUGCUCCUUCUACUAUGGUGGGAUUCGUACCUCGUAUGCAUUGGCUGGAUGGCCAGAAGAAUGGUGUCCCAUAUCACAAAUAUGGAGGAUGGUGGUCAGUUUGGUGGAUGGGUGCUUAUAGUAUGGUUCUCUCAAAAGCUGCAUUCUUUCACAAGAAGUACUUGGACUUGUAUACACACAUGAUGCCCCCAUCAAUACAAGAUUAUGUAGCCAGGGAAAGGAACUGUGAAGAUAUUGCAAUGUCUUUGCUCAUUGCCAAUGCUACAGGUGCUCCUCCAAUUUGGGUGAAAGGAAAGAUACAUGAGAUUGCAUCAUCAGGCAUAAGUAGUCUUAAAGGGCAUAGUGACAGGAGAAAUAAAUGCCUGAAUGACAUAAUUUCCCUAUAUGGGACUGUGCCUCUUGUUUCAAGCAAUGUAAAAGCUGUAGAUGCAAGACAAGAAUGGUUCUGGUAGUUGUGACCUUGGAAUUAUUUGGAGCCAUUAGCCAACCGAAUAGUUAUGCUUUCAGAUUCACCUCCUUGUUGCAAUCAAGUUCUGCAUUAUGCUUAUUCUACUUGUAUAUUUGUACAGGGGACCAUGUUUAAAUGAUUGUGAUGUUAACUGAUAUUUUUCUGAGUCACUCUCGCUCAUCUGCUCGUCACCCAUUCAAUGGCUGUUGACCUGUCCUAUACUUUGAUCAGAUUUUUAUUAAAAAAAAAAAAAAAAAAAA
rnacentral:misc_RNA from 1 species